rnacentral:rRNA from 1 species
GACGAACGCUGGCGGCGUGCUUAACACAUGCAAGUCGAACGAAGAGCGAUGGAAGCUUGCUUCUAUCAAUCUUAGUGGCGAACGGGUGAGUAACGCGUAAUCAACCUGCCCUUCAGAGGGGGACAACAGUUGGAAACGACUGCUAAUACCGCAUACGAUCUAACCUCGGCAUCGAGGAAAGAUGAAAGGUGGCCUCUAUUUAUAAGCUAUCACUGAAGGAGGGGAUUGCGUCUGAUUAGCUAGUUGGAGGGGUAACGGCCCACCAAGGCGAUGAUCAGUAGCCGGUCUGAGAGGAUGAACGGCCACAUUGGGACUGAGACACGGCCCAGACUCCUACGGGAGGCAGCAGUGAGGAAUCUUCCGCAAUGGACGAAAGUCUGACGGAGCAACGCCGCGUGAGUGAUGACGGCCUUCGGAUUGUAAAGCUCUGUUAAUCGGGACGAAAGGCCUUCUUGCGAACAGUUAGAAGGAUUGACGGUACCGGAAUA